GCCAGACUCCUACGGGAGGCAGCAGUGGGGGAUAUUGCACAAUGGGGGAAACCCUGAUGCAGCGACGCCGCGUGAGUGAAGAAGUAUUUCGGUACGUAAAGCUCUAUCAGCAGGGAAGAAUAAUGACGGUACCUGACUAAGAAGCCCCGGCUAACUACGUGCCAGCAGCCGCGGUAAUACGUAGGGGGCAAGCGUUAUCCGGAUUUACUGGGUGUAAAGGGAGCGUAGACGGCAGCGCAAGUCUGGAGUGAAAUGCCGGGGCCCAACCCCGGAACUGCUCUGGAAACUGUGAAGCUGGAGUGCAGGAGAGGUAAGCGGAAUUCCUGGUGUAGCGGUGAAAUGCGUAGAUAUCAGGAGGAACACCGGCGGCGAAGGCGGCUUACUGGACUGUAACUGACGUUGAGGCUCGAAGGCGUGGGGAGCAAACAGGAUUAGAUACCCGCGUAA
rnacentral:rRNA from 1 species